rnacentral:rRNA from 1 species
GACAGAGGCCUCGAGCGUUAGGCGGAAUCACUGGGCUUAAAGCGUGUGUAGGCGGAUCGUUAAGUACCUUGUGAAAUCCCACGGCUCAACCGUGGAACGGCUGGGUAUACUGGCGGUCUUGGGCCAUUCAGGGGCGACUGGAACAAGCGGUGGAGCGGUGAAAUGCGUAGAUAUCGCUUGGAACGCCGAAGGUGAAAACAGGUCGCUGGGGAUGUGCCGACGCUGAGACACGAAAGCGUGGGUAGCAAACAGG